GACGAACGCUGGCGGCGUGCCUAAUACAUGCAAGUCGAGCGAAUGAAUGGGAGCUUGCUCCUGUUCGUUAGCGGCGGACGGGUGAGUAACACGUGGGCAACCUGCCUGUAAGACUGGGAUAACUUCGGGAAACCAGAGCUAAUACCGGAUAGUUUCUUUCUUCUCAUGAAGAAGGAUGGAAAGACGGUUUUGCUGUCACUUAAAGAUGGGCCCGCGGCGCAUUAGCUAGUUGGUGAGGUAAGGGCUAACCAAGGCGACGAUGCGUAGCCGACCUGAGAGGGUGAUCGGCCACACUGGGACUGAGACACGGCCCAGACUCCUACGGGAGGCAGCAGUAGGGAAUCUUCCGCAAUGGACGAAAGUCUGACGGAGCAACGCCGCGUGAGUGAAGAAGGUUUUCGGAUCGUAAAACUCUGUUGUCAGGGAAGAACAAGUACCAGAGUAACUGCUGGUACCUUGACGGUACCUGACCAGAAAGCCACGGCUAACUACGUGCCAGCAGCCGCCGUAAAAC
rnacentral:rRNA from 1 species